GACGAACGCUGGCGGCGUGCCUAACACAUGCAAGUCGAGCGAUGAAGUUUCCUUCGGGAAAUGGAUUAGCGGCGGACGGGUGAGUAACACGCGGGUAACCUGCCUCAUAGUGGGGAAUAGCCUUUCGAAAGGAAGAUUAAUACCGCACAUUUCUAAUCGUCUCCUGACGAAUGGAAGAAGGGUGGCUUCGGCUACCGCUUAUGGAUGGACCCGCGGCGUAUUAGCUAGUUGGUGAGGUAAUGGCUCACCAAGGCGAUGAUACGUAGCCGACCUGAGAGGGUGAUCGGCCACAUUGGGACUGAGACACGGCCCAA
rnacentral:rRNA from 1 species